rnacentral:rRNA from 1 species
CGGGUGAGUAACGCGUGGAGAACCUGCCGUAUACUGGGGGAUAACACUUAGAAAUAGGUGCUAAUACCGCAUAAGCGCACAGCUUCGCAUGAAGCAGUGUGAAAAACUCCGGUGGUAUACGAUGGAUCCGCGUCUGAUUAGCUGGUUGGCGGGGUAAAGGCCCACCAAGGCGACGAUCAGUAGCCGGCCUGAGAGGGUGAACGGCCACAAUGGGACUGAGACACGGCCCAAACUCCUACGGAAGGCAGCAG